rnacentral:rRNA from 1 species
AGGACGACGCUGGCGGCGUGCUUAAAACAUGCAAGUCGAACGGACUUCUCAUGAAGCUUGCGAUUGAGAAGUUAGUGGCGGACGGGUGAGUAACGCGUGGGCAACCUGCCCCUGAGCCCGGGAUAACAGUUCGAAAGGACUGCUAAGACCGGAUAUACUUGCGGGGAAGCAUUUCACUGCAAGGAAAGGGAACGCUCAGGGAUGGGCCCGCGUCCCAUUAGCUAGUUGGUGAGGUAACGGCCCACCAAGGCGACGAUGGGUAGCCGGCCUGAGAGGGUGAACGGCCACACUGGGACUGAGACACGGCCCAGACUCCUACGGGAGGCAGCAGUUGGGAAUCUUCGGCAAUGGGCGCAAGCCUGACCGAGCAACGCCGCGUGAGUGAUGAAGGUUUUCGGAUUGUAAAGCUCUGUCUUCCGGGACGAUAAUGACGGUACCGGAGGAGGAAGCCACGGCUAACUACGUG